rnacentral:rRNA from 1 species
UGACGAGUGGCGAACGGGUGAGUAAUAUAUCGGAACGUACCAUUCAGUGGGGGAUAACGUAGCGAAAGUUACGCUAAUACCGCAUAUUCUGUGAGCAGGAAAGCAGGGGAUCGCAAGACCUUGCGCUGAUUGAGCGGCCGAUAUCAGAUUAGCUUGUUGGUGAGGUAAAAGCUCACCAAGGCGACGAUCUGUAGCGGGUCUGAGAGGAUGAUCCGCCACACUGGAACUGAGACACGGUCCAGACUCCUACGGGAGGCAGCAGUGGGGAAUUUUGGACAAUGGGGGCAACCCUGAUCCAGCCAUGCCGCGUGAGUGAAGAAGGCCCUCGGGUUGUAAAGCUCUUUUCCGGGAAGAAAACGCAUGGGUUAAUACCCUGUGUGGAUGACGGUACCGGAAUAAGAAGCACCGGCUAACUACGUGCCAGCAGCCGCGGUAAUACGUAGGGUGCGAGCGUUAAUCGGAAUUACUGGGCGUAAAGCGUGCGCAGGCGGUUUUGUAAGACAGGCGUGAAAUCCCCGGGCUUAACCUGGGAACUGCGUUUGUGACUGCAAGGCUAGAGUACGGCAGAGGGGGGUGGAAUUCCACGUGUAGCAGUGAAAUGCGUAGAGAUGUGGAGGAACACCAAUGGCGAAGGCAGCCCCCUGGGUCGAUACUGACGCUCAUGCACGAAAGCGUGGGUAGCAAACAGGAUUAGAUACCCUGGUAGUCCACGCCCUAAACGAUGUCAACUAGGUGUUGGGAGGGUAAAACCUUUUAGUACCGGAGCUAACGCGUGAAGUUGACCGCCUGGGGAGUACGGCCGCAAGGUUAAAACUCAAAGGAAUUGACGGGGACCCGCACAAGCGGUGGAUGAUGUGGAUUAAUUCGAUGCAACGCGAAAAGCCUUACCUACCCUUGACAUGCCAAGAACUUUUCAGAGAUGGAUUGGUGCCCGAAAGGGAACUUGGACACAGGUGCUGCAUGGCUGUCGUCAGCUCGUGUCGUGAGAUGUUGGGUUAAGUCCCGCAACGAGCGCAACCCUUGUCGUUAAUUGCCAUCAUUUAGUUGGGCACUUUAACGAGACUACCGGUGACAAACCGGAGGAAGGUGGGGAUGACGUCAAGUCCUCAUGGCCCUUAUGGGUAGGGCUUCACACGUCAUACAAUGGUCGGUACAAAGGGUCGCCAAGCCGCGAGGUGGAGCCAAUCCCAGAAAGCCGAUCGUAGUCCGGAUCGCAGUCUGCAACUCGACUGCGUGAAGUCGGAAUCGCUAGUAAUCGUGGAUCAGAAUGUCACGGUGAAUACGUUCCCGGGUCUUGUACACACCGCCCGUCACACCAUGGGAGCGGGUUCCGCCAGAAGUAGGUAGCCUAACCGCAAGGAGGGCGCUUACCACGGCGGGGUUCGUGACUGGGGUGAAGUCGGAACAAGGUA